UGGGCAGGUUGAAGGUUGGGUAACACUAACUGGAGGACCGAACCGACUAAUGUUGAAAAAUUAGCGGAUGACCUGUGGCUGGGGGUGAAAGGCCAAUCAAACCGGGAGAUAGCUGGUUCUCCCCGAAAGCUAUUUAGGUAGCGCCUCGUGAAUUCAUCUCCGGGGGUAGAGCACUGUUUCGGCUAGGGGGCCAUCCCGGCUUACCAACCCGAUGCAAACUGCGAAUACCGGAGAAUGUUAUCACGGGAGACACACGGCGGGUGCUAACGUCCGUCGUGAAGAGGGAAACAACCCAGACCGCCAGCUAAGGUCCCAAAGUCAUGGUUAAGUGGGAAACGAUGUGGGAAGGCCCAGACAGCCAGGAUGUUGGCUUAGAAGCAGCCAUCAUUUAAAGAAAGCGUAAUAGCUCACUGGUCGAGUCGGCCUGCGCGGAAGAUGUAACGGGGCUAAACCAUGCACCGAAGCUGCGGCAGCGACACUGUGUGUUGUUGGGUAGGGGAGCGUUCUGUAAGCCUGUGAAGGUGUGUCGUGAGGCAUGCUGGAGGUAUCAGAAGUGCGAAUGCUGACAUAAGUAACGAUAAAGCGGGUGAAAAGCCCGCUCGCCGGAAGACCAAGGGUUCCUGUCCAACGUUAAUCGGGGCAGGGUGAGUCGACCCCUAAGGCGAGGCCGAAAGGCGUAGUCGAUGGGAAACGGGUUAAUAUUCCCGUACUUGGUGUUACUGCGAAGGGGGGACGGAGAAGGCUAUGUUGGCCGGGCGACGGUUGUCCCGGUUUAAGCGUGUAGGUGUGUGUUCCAGGUAAAUCCGGUUCACUUUAACACUGAGGCGUGACGACGAGGCACUACGGUGCUGAAGCAACAAAUGCCCUGCUUCCAGGAAAAGCCUCUAAGCAUCAGGUAACAUCAAAUCGUACCCCAAACCGACACAGGUGGUCAGGUAGAGAAUACCAAGGCGCUUGAGAGAACUCGGGUGAAGGAACUAGGCAAAAUGGUGCCGUAACUUCGGGAGAAGGCACGCUGACACGUAGGUGAAGUGAUUUACUCAUGGAGCUGAAGUCAGUCGAAGAUACCAGCUGGCUGCAACUGUUUAUUAAAAACACAGCACUGUGCAAACACGAAAGUGGACGUAUACGGUGUGACGCCUGCCCGGUGCCGGAAGGUUAAUUGAUGGGGUCAGCGCAAGCGAAGCUCCUGAUCGAAGCCCCGGUAAACGGCGGCCGUAACUAUAACGGUCCUAAGGUAGCGAAAUUCCUUGUCGGGUAAGUUCCGACCUGCACGAAUGGCGUAAUGAUGGCCAGGCUGUCUCCACCCGAGACUCAGUGAAAUUGAACUC
rnacentral:rRNA from 1 species